rnacentral:tRNA from 2 species
AAGAGAGGUCUGGGACACGAGGAACUGCUAAUUCCCCUUUUCAUGGUUCAAAUCCAUGGCUCACUUA